AGCGUACACGGUGGAUGCCUAGGCAGUCAGAGGCGAUGAAGGGCGUGCUAAUCUGCGAUAAGCGUCGGUAAGCUGAUAUGAAGCGUUAUACCCGACGAUACCCGAAUGGGGAAACCCAAUGUGUUUCGACACAUUAUCAUGACAUGAAUACAUAGUGUCAUGAGGCGAACCGGGGGAACUGAAACAUCUCAGUACCCCGAGGAAAAGAAAUCAACCGAGAUUCCCCUAGUAGCGGCGAGCGAACGGGGAGGAGCCCAGAACCUGAAUCAGUUUGUGUGUUAGUGGAAGCGUCUGGAAAGUCGCACAGUAAAGGGUGAUAGUCCCGUACACAAAAAUGCACAAGUUGUGAGUUCGAUGAGUAGGGCGGGACACGUGACAUCCUGUCUGAAUAUGGGGGGACCAUCCUCCAAGGCUAAAUACUCCUGACUGACCGAUAGUGAACCAGUACCGUGAGGGAAAGGCGAAAAGAACCCCGGCGAGGGGAGUGAAAUAGAACCUGAAACCGUGUACGUACAAGCAGUGGGAGCCUACUAGUUGGGUGACUGCGUACCUUUUGUAUAAUGGGUCAGCGACUUAUAUUCUGUAGCAAGGUUAACCGUAUAGGGGAGCCGCAGGGAAACCGAGUCUUAACUGGGCGUUAAGUUGCAGGGUAUAGACCCGAAACCCGGUGAUCUAGCCAUGGGCAGGUUGAAGGUUGGGUAACACUAACUGGAGGACCGAACCGACUAAUGUUGAAAAAUUAGCGGAUGACUUGUGGCUGGGGGUGAAAGGCCAAUCAAACCGGGAGAUAGCUGGUUCUCCCCGAAAGCUAUUUAGGUAGCGCCUCGUGAACUCAUCUUCGGGGGUAGAGCACUGUUUCGGCUAGGGGGUCAUCCCGACUUACCAACCCGAUGCAAACUACGAAUACCGAAGAAUGUUAUCACGGGAGACACACGGCGGGUGCUAACGUUCGUCGUGAAGAGGGAAACAACCCAGACCGCCAGCUAAGGUCCCAAAGUCAUGGUUAAGUGGGAAACGAUGUGGGAAGGCACAGACAGCCAGGAUGUUGGCUUAGAAGCAGCCAUCAUUUAAAGAAAGCGUAAUAGCUCACUGGUCGAGUCGGCCUGCGCGGAAGAUGUAACGGGGCUAAACCAUGCACCGAAGCUGCGGCAGCGACACUUAGGUGUUGUUGGGUAGGGGAGCGUUCUGUAAGCCGUUGAAGGUGGCCUGUGAGGGUUGCUGGAGGUAUCAGAAGUGCGAAUGCUGACAUAAGUAACGAUAAUGCGGGUGAAAAACCCGCACGCCGGAAGACCAAGGGUUCCUGUCCAACGUUAAUCGGGGCAGGGUGAGUCGACCCCUAAGGCGAGGCUGAAAAGCGUAGUCGAUGGGAAACAGGUUAAUAUUCCUGUACUCGGUGUUACUGCGAAGGGGGGACGGAGAAAGCUAGGUUAUCCGGGCGACGGUUGUCCCGGUUUAAGCGUGAAGGUGGAUGACUUAGGUAAAUCCGGGUCAUUGUUAACACUGAGGCGUGAUGACGAGUCACUACGGUGAUGAAGUAACCGAUGCUACGCUUCCAGGAAAAGCCUCUAAGCUCCAGGUAACAUCAAAUCGUACCCCAAACCGACACAGGUGGUCAGGUAGAGAAUACUCAGGCGCUUGAGAGAACUCGGGUGAAGGAACUAGGCAAAAUGGUGCCGUAACUUCGGGAGAAGGCACGCUCCUGUCGGUGAAGUCCCUUGCGGAUGGAGCUGGCGGGAGUCGCAGAUACCAGCUGGCUGCAACUGUUUAAUAAAAACACAGCACUGUGCAAACACGAAAGUGGACGUAUACGGUGUGACGCCUGCCCGGUGCCGGAAGGUUAAUUGAUGGGGUCAGCCGCAAGGCGAAGCUCUUGAUCGAAGCCCCGGUAAACGGCGGCCGUAACUAUAACGGUCCUAAGGUAGCGAAAUUCCUUGUCGGGUAAGUUCCGACCUGCACGAAUGGCGUAAUGAUGGCCAGGCUGUCUCCACCCGAGACUCAGUGAAAUUGAACUCGCUGUGAAGAUGCAGUGUACCCGCGGCAAGACGGAAAGACCCCGUGAACCUUUACUAUAGCUUGACACUGAACCUUGAGCCUUGAUGUGUAGGAUAGGUGGGAGGCUUUGAAGCGAGGACGCCAGUUCUUGUGGAGCCAACCUUGAAAUACCACCCUUUAAUGUUUGAUGUUCUAACGUAGACCCGUAAUCCGGGUUGCGGACAGUGUCUGGUGGGUAGUUUGACUGGGGCGGUCUCCUCCCAAAGAGUAACGGAGGAGCACGAAGGUUAGCUAAUCCUGGUCGGACAUCAGGAGGUUAGUGCAAAGGCAUAAGCUAGCUUGACUGCGAGAGUGACAGCUCGAGCAGGUGCGAAAGCAGGUCUUAGUGAUCCGGUGGUUCUGAAUGGAAGGGCCAUCGCUCAACGGAUAAAAGGUACUCCGGGGAUAACAGGCUGAUACCGCCCAAGAGUUCAUAUCGACGGCGGUGUUUGGCACCUCGAUGUCGGCUCAUCACAUCCUGGGGCUGAAGUAGGUCCCAAGGGUAUGGCUGUUCGCCAUUUAAAGUGGUACGCGAGCUGGGUUUAGAACGUCGUGAGACAGUUCGGUCCCUAUCUGCCGUGGGCGUUGGAAGAUUGAGAGGGGUUGCUCCUAGUACGAGAGGACCGGAGUGAACGCACCACUGGUGUACGGGUUGUGAUGCCAAUUGCAUUGCCCGGUAGCUAAGUGCGGAAGAGAUAACCGCUGAAAGCAUCUAAGCGGGAAACUUGCCUCGAGAUGAGUCUUCCCUGGGCACUAGAUGCCCCUGAAGGGCCGUUGA
rnacentral:rRNA from 1 species